AGAGUUUGAUCCUGGCUCAGAACGAACGCUGGCGGCGUGGCUAAGGCAUGCAAGUCGAACGGACCCUUCGGGGUUAGUGGCGAACGGGUGAGGAAUAGAUGGAUAACGUACCCUGGACACGGGGAUAGCGGGGAGCUUCGGCUCAUAGCGAAAGCACCGGUAAUACCCGAUGACCCCUCUGGAUCGCAUGAUUCAGCGGGCAAAUGCUCCGGUGGUCUGGGAGCGGUCCAUCUCCUAUCAGCUUGUUGGUGAGGUAACGGCUCACCAAGGCAUCGACGGGUAGCGGGCGUGAGAGCGUGGCCCGCCACAUCGGGACUGAGACACUGCCCGGACACCUACGGGUGUCUGCGGCAACGAAUAUUCCGCAAUGGACGAAAGUCUGACGGAGCGUCGCCGCGUGUAGGAAGAAGUCCCUCGGGAUGUAAACUACUGUCAGGGGUUAGGAAAACCGACCAGCCCCUGAGGAAGCACCGGCUAACUCCGUGCCAGCAGCCGCGGUAAU
rnacentral:rRNA from 1 species